UUUAGAUUCAAUUGCGAUAAAAAGUCUCCGGAACAUUGGAGGGGAACCACUCACAAGUUUCUCGGACAAUUUGUUUUUUUUUUUUUUAUUGAAGACAAUUUAAGAGAGUAUGAUGCUGAGGACUCAAAGGUACAGCGUAGGGUAGCCUGGGGUUAAGUGGGCACGGCGGGUUAACUGAACACUCGACCCAGCUGCCACCUGGUGGGCAUACUCAAAACCAACUACGCGUCAAUUUCAUCAGUUUAUAGACCCUUACUAGUGUACCUUGCGCCGAGUUGAUAAUCUUUGUUUUUUUUGAAGUUAUGUUUACAAACGUGUUUCGUGGGGCGAAAAGUAAAUUCCCGGUGCUGUGAACUGAAGCCCAAAUGACAUAUCUAGCUUUUGAGGAAGACUUUGUAUUUUAACAACUAAAAGGAGAAAAAGGACAACCAACCAUGGGACCUAUUCAGAAGUCAUUGAAAUAAGUUUUCCGUAUCUCUUAGUGAAAAUGUAUAUAAGUAUUAAGACAAACAAAAAAUCAUCCUCAGAUGUAUUUCUUUAAUUUUUAAGACUUUUCCACUUGUUCAUUUGACUUAAUAAAAGUUUCCUCUUUCAAAA